rnacentral:misc_RNA from 1 species
GAUGAAGAACGUAGCGAAAUGCGAUAAGUAAUGUGAAUUGCAGAAUUCAGUGAAUCAUCGAAUCUUUGAACGCACAUUGCGCCCGCCAGUAUUCUGGCGGGCGUGCCUGUUCGAGCGUCAUUUCAACCAUCAAGCCCCCGGCUUGUGUUGGGGACCUGCGGCUGCCGCAGGCCCUGAAAUGCAGUGGCGGGCUCGCUGUCACUCCGAGCGUAGUAGUUACAUCUCGCUCUGGGCGUGCUGCGGGUUCCGGCCGUUAAAAGCCUUAUUUACCCAAGGUUGACCUCGGAUCAGGUAGGAAGACCCGCUGAACUUAAGCAUAUCAAUAAGCGGAGGA